GUAGACAUAAAGGUAGACAUAAAUGUAGACAUAAAGAUAAACAUAAAGGUAGACAUCAAGGUAGAUAUAAAGGUAGACAUAAAGGUAGACACAAAGGUAGACA